CACGUAGGGACCAAGCGUUGUCCGGAUUCAUUGGGCGUAAAGAGCUCGUAGGCGGUUCGGUAAGUCGGGUGUGAAACCUCCAGGCUCAACCUGGAGACGCCACCCGAUACUGCUGUGACUAGAGUCCAGUAGGGGAGCGUGGAAUUCCUGGUGUAGCGGUGAAAUGCGCAGAUAUCAGGAGGAACACCAGCGGCGAAGGCGGCGCUCUGGGCUGGAACUGACGCUGAGGAGCGAAAGCGUGGGGAGCAAACAGG
rnacentral:rRNA from 1 species